rnacentral:rRNA from 1 species
UGAUAAGGUCCGUGUUCGAAAGGGAAACAGCCCAGACCACCAGCUAAGGUCCCAAAAUAUAUGUUAAGUGGAAAAGGAUGUGGCGUUGCCCAGACAACUAGGAUGUUGGCUUAGAAGCAGCCAUCAUUUAAAGAGUGCGUAAUAGCUCACUAGUCGAGUGACACUGCGCCGAAAAUGUACCGGGGCUAAACAUAUUACCGAAGCUGUGGAUUGUCCUUUGGACAAUGGUAGGAGAGCGUUCUAAGGGCGUUGAAGCAUGAUCGUAAGGACAUGUGGAGCGCUUAGAAGUGAGAAUGCCGGUGUGAGUAGCGAAAGACGGGUGAGAAUCCCGUCCACCGAUUGACUAAGGUUUCCAGAGGAAGGCUCGUCCGCUCUGGGUUAGUCGGGUCCUAAGCUGAGGCCGACAGGCGUAGGCGAUGGAUAACAGGUUGAUAUUCCUGUACCACCUAUAAUCGUUUUAAUCGAUGGGGGGACGCAGUAG